AUUGAACGCUAGCGGGAUGCCUUACACAUGCAAGUCGAACGGAGUGGCGAACGGGUGAGUAAUGUAUCGGAACGUGCCCAGUUGCGGGGGAUAACUACGCGUAAGCGUGGCUAAUAUCGUAUAGUAUUGGAGGGUCCGAUAUGGGAUUAGCUAGUUGGGGGGGUAGCGACUCACCAAGGCGACGAUCCGUAGCUGGUUUGAGAGGACGAGCAGCCACACUGGACCUGAUACACGGCCCAGACUCCUACGGGAGGCAGCAGUGGGGAAUUUUGCACAAUGGGGGAAACCCUGAUGCAGCCAUGCCGCGUGUGUGAUGAAGGCCUUCGGGUUGUAAAGCACUUUCAGCAGGAAAGCGGUACCUGCAGAAUAAGCACCGGCUAACUACGUGCCAGCAGCCGCGGUAAUUC
rnacentral:rRNA from 1 species